AGCCGGUCCCAAGGGUAUGGCUGUUCGCCAUUUAAAGUGGUACGCCGGUACGUGAGCUGGGUUUAGAACGUCGUGAGACAGUUCGGUCCCUAUCUGCCGUGGACGUUUGAGAUUUGAGAGGGGCUGCUCCUAGUACGAGAGGACCGGAGUGGACGAACCUCUGGUGUUCCGGUUGUCACGCCAGUGGCAUUGCCGGGUAGCUAUGUUCGGAAUAGAUAACCGCUGAAAGCAUCUAAGCGGGAAACUCGUUUCAAGAUGAGAUCUGCCGGGGCCUUGAGCCCCCUAAAGAGUCGUUCAAGACCAGGACGUUGAUAGGUCAGGUGUGGA
rnacentral:rRNA from 13 species